AGGGUUCCGGUUCACGCCCACAAGCGACCCGGCGACC
rnacentral:ncRNA from 1 species